GACGAACCGUCCAAACGUUAUUCGGAAUUACUGGGCUUAAAGGGUGCGUAGGCGGCCUAUUAAGUCAGGGGUGAAAGACGGUAGCUUAACUAUCGCAGUGCCUUUGAUACUGAUGGGCUUGAAUGAACUAGAGGUAGGCGGAAUGUGACAAGUAGCGGUGAAAUGCAUAGAUAUGUCACAGAACACCAAUUGCGAAGGCAGCUUACUAUGGUUUUAUUGACGCUGAGGCACGAAAGCGUGGGGAUCAAACAGG
rnacentral:rRNA from 1 species